UUAAGCCCCAGUAAACGGCGGCCGUAACUAUAACGGUCCUAAGGUAGCGAAAUUCCUUGUCGGGUAAGUUCCGACCCGCACGAAAGGCGUAAUGAUUUGGGCACUGUCUCAACAAUGCACCCGGUGAAAUUGAAAUACCAGUGAAGAUGCUGGUUACCUGCGCCAGGACGGAAAGACCCCAUGGAGCUUUACUCCAGUCUGGUACUGGGACUCGGUAUUGCAUGUACAGGAUAGGUGGGAGGCUAGGAGAUGGUAACGCCAGUUGCCAUGGAGCCGCUGUUGGGAUACCACCCUUGCAGUAUUGGGUUUCUAACCAGCCGCCGUGACCCGGCGGUGGGACAAUGCCAGACGGGGAGUUUGACUGGGGCGGUCGCCUCCGAAAGGGUAUCGGAGGCGCCCAAAGGUUCCCUCAGAAUGGACGGAAACCAUUCGAAGAGUGCAAAGGCAGAAGGGAGCUUGACUGCGACACCGACGGGUGGAGCAGGUACGAAAGUAGGGCUUAGUGAUCCGGUGGUAUUAAGUGGGAAUGCCAUCGCUCAACGGAUAAAAGCUACCCUGGGGAUAACAGGCUUAUCACUCCCAAGAGUUCACAUCGACGGAGUGGUUUGGCACCUCGAUGUCGGCUCAUCGCAUCCUGGGGCUGUAGUAGGUCCCAAGGGUUGGGCUGUUCGCCCAUUAAAGCGGUACGCGAGCUGGGUUCAGAACGUCGUGAGACAGUUCGGUCCCUAUCCGGCGUGGGCGUAGGAUAUCUGAGAGGAGCUGUCCUUAGUACGAGAGGACCGGGAUGGACGGGCCGCUGGUGCAUCGGUUAGACUGCCAAGUCUACGGCCGAGUAGCCAAGCCCGGAAGGGAUAAACGCUGAAGGCAUCUAAGCGUGAAGCCCCCCUUAAGAUGAGAUAUCCCAUUCGAAAGAAGUAAACCCCCUUGAAGACGACGAGGUAGAUAGGGCAGAGGUGGAAGUGCAGCAAUGCAUGGAGCUGACUGUUACUAAUCGGGUGAGGGCUUGACCAA
rnacentral:rRNA from 1 species